GGCAGGGUGGUGCAGUGGUUAGCACUGCCGCCUCACAUGAAGAAGGUUGUAGGUUUGAAUCCGGCCUUUCCG